UAACAUCCAUUUCAUUCUCUCUUCAUUUCCUACCUUCUAUCUUAUAUCGUCGUAUAGAGUUUCUUGCGGUUUGAGUUUUUUUCAGUUCGGCUUCUCGUUCCUUCCUAUCAAAAAAGGGAAUCAGGUUUUCCGGUGGGCACGCUUCUUUCGGGAGGAAGGGCAAGGUUUUGCGUUCUUCCUUUCGUAUUCAUUUACGGCGCUCUACACGUAGCCUUGAUGGUGGAAGUGUAGCUUUGCAUGAAAUUGAUGGCAAUGUCGUGCGGUUGAAACUACAGGGAGCAUGUGGUUCCUGUCCAAGCUCUGUUACAACAAUGAAAAUGGGCAUUGAGCGUCGACUAAUGGAGAAGAUCCCUGACAUAGCUGGUGAAGAAACUGGUCUCGAGCUAAAUGAAGAAAACCCAGAGAAGGACUCUCCCAGUGGAGCUCCUCCACAACACAAGGUUUUCCACCUUUUAUCACUUCAUUAAUAAUUCUUUGCUAUUAAUGUUAUUAUAAUUGUUAUUUGAUCCAGACAUGCUCUUAGUUGCCCAUAUUAGUACAAGCUUUUGCAUUUUCCUGUGUGCUGUUUUAAUGGGGACCAAAUUUUUAGUUUUUUUCUAGUAUUUUAUAUAUUUUGGGAUGCAUGUUGAACAACUUUCCUAUGCUAUAUUUAUUUAUAAAGGAUAUAUUACUAAUAAUUUAGGAUUUAUUUAAUCAAUUGACCUUCUUAUCUUUAAAAACUAAAAGCAAUAUGAGUCUAAAGAUGGUUGCUUUAUCAUUUAAGGAUGAGUAACUUUUGUUUUUAAGAACAAGUUAAUGUCUAAUGACAAAAUCACAAUCAACACUGUAAACUUUUGAGCAUUAUCAAAUACUUUGUUUUUCUUAUUUUAUAAACUCUUAGAUAUAUUUAUAUAGAAGGAAAUGGUUAGUGUUAAAGAAUGACAGAAUGAUGAUAAUUGGUUAGUGUUAAAAUAGAGGAACAACUCUUCUUUUCUUAGCACUUGCUUGAUUGUAAUGUUCUUGUUAUUAGGAUUUUACAUUGAUUAAAUAAGAUGAAGGUAAGCACUAUGGGAUAAAAAGCAUGAUUGAAGGACGUUCAUACAAUUUUAGAAAUGUUGAAUCGUGGAUUCAAUAGGAUAGAUUAACCAAAAAGAAAAAAUCCUCUAGAGAAAUUUACUAAGCCCGUUUUAUAAAAUCCUCUGAUUACCAUGUUAAACUAUAUAGGAAAGAGAAAAACUGAGCUGAAACUAUAUGUUUACGAAACAACACAAAUGCUUUGUUUAUACUGAGAUAAACAAAAUUAAUACAACGUUAUAUACACUGGACUUAGCUCUUUACGUACAUGGUGGUAGUUCCACCCACCUCUCGGUUCUGUAGACUCCUAGACAAAAGAUUGAUGGUACUAUGUUGUUUCCCUCCCUUCGGCCAUGAUGAAUGUCAAGUUUGUACUGCAAACUAUUUUCACAUGAGACCUACAAUGUUUACCAUAAUCAUCCUGAAAUUCAUGUUUUCACCCCCUCGACUUAAAUACAAGUUAAUUCAUAUAUAUCACAAACUUUAUAUUCGUAACUAAAUCAAGUAAAACUUAAAAUAUAUUAAAUUUAAUU